rnacentral:rRNA from 1 species
ACGGGUGAGUAAUAUAUCGGAACGUGCCCAGUAGUGGGGGAUAGCCCGGCGAAAGCCGGAUUAAUACCGCAUACGACCUAUGGGUGAAAGCGGGGGCUCGCAAGACCUCGCGCUAUUGGAGCGGCCGAUAUCAGAUUAACUAGUUGGUGGGGUAAAGGCCUACCAAGGCGACGAUCUGUAGCUGGUCUGAGAGGACGACCAGCCACACUGGGACUGAGACACGGCCCAGACUCCUACGGGAGGCAGCAGUGGGGAAUUUUGGACAAUGGGCGCAAGCCUGAUCCAGCCAUGCCGCGUGCGGGAAGAAGGCCUUCGGGUUGUAAACCGCUUUUGUCAGGGAAGAAACGGUCUGACCUAAUACGUUGGACUAAUGACGGUACCUGAAGAAUAAGCACCGGCUAACUACGUGCCAGCAGCCGCGGUAAUACGUAGGGUGCAAGCGUUAAUCGGAAUUACUGGGCGUAAAGCGUGCGCAGGCGGCUUUGCAAGACAGAUGUGAAAUCCCCGGGCUCAACCUGGGAACUGCAUUUGUGACUGCAAGGCUGGAGUACGGUAGAGGGGGAUGGAAUUCCGCGUGUAGCAGUGAAAU